GCAGUAAGGAAUAUUGGUCAAUGGAGGCAACUCUGAACCAGCCAUGCCGCGUGCAGGAAGACAGCCCUCUGGGUCGUAAACUGCUUUUAUUCGGGAAUAAACCUAUCUACGUGUAGAUAGCUGAAUGUACCGAAGGAAUAAGGAUCGGCUAACUCCGUGCCAGCAGCCGCGGUAAUACGGAGGAUCCAAGCGUUAUCCGGAUUUAUUGGGUUUAAAGGGUGCGUAGGCGGCUUAUUAAGUCAGGGGUGAAAGACGGUGGCUCAACCAUCGCAGUGCCCUUGAUACUGAUGAGCUUGAAUACACUAGAGGUAGGCGGAAUGUGACAAGUAGCGGUGAAAUGCAUAGAUAUGUCACAGAACACCGAUUGCGAAGGCAGCUUACUAUGGUGUCAUUGACGCUGAGGCACGAAAGCGUGGGGAUCAAACAGGAUUAGA
rnacentral:rRNA from 1 species